rnacentral:rRNA from 1 species
UACGUAGGGGGCUAGCGUUGUCCGGAUUUAUUGGGCGUAAAGAGCUCGUAGGCGGCCGUUCGCGUCGGAUGUGAAAGCUCAGGGCUCAACUCUGAGAUGCCAUUCGAUACGGGACGGCUAGAGGUAGGUAGGGGAGAGUGGAAUUCCUGGUGUAGCGGUGAAAUGCGCAGAUAUCAGGAGGAACACCGGUGGCGAAGGCGGCUCUCUGGGCCUUACCUGACGCUGAGGAGCGAAAGCUGGGGGAGCGAACAGG